AAGGGAGUGGCAGAUUGGUUAUGUGGUUGACUUGAAAUCAAAACAUGGGGGUUCAAUUCCCCCCUCCCUGGCG
rnacentral:tRNA from 1 species